ACUCCUACGGGAGGCAGCAGUGGGGAAUAUUGCACAAUGGGCGCAAGCCUGAUGCAGCCAUGCCGCGUGUAUGAAGAAGGCCUCGGUUGUAAAGUACUUCUAGCAGUGAGGAAGGUGGGUAGUGUUAAUAGCAUACUCAUUUGUACGUUAGCUGCAGAAGAAGCACCGGCUAACUCCGUGCCAGCAGCCGCGGUAAUACGGAGGGUGCGAGCGUUAAUCGGAAUUACUGGGCGUAAAGCGCAUGCAGGUGGUUUGUUAAGUCAGAUGUGAAAGCCCGGGGCUCAACCUCGGAAUUGCAUUUGAAACUGGCAAACUAGAGUACUGUAGAGGGGGUAGAAUUUCAGGUGUAGCGGUGAAAUGCGUAGAGAUCUGAAGGAAUACCGGUGGCGAAGGCGGCCCCCUGGACAGAUACUGACACUCAGAUGCGAAAGCGUGGGGAGCAAACAGGAUUAGAU
rnacentral:rRNA from 1 species